rnacentral:tRNA from 1 species
GGCCCCGUGGUCCAACGGCUUACGACACCCGGAUCACAACCAGGAAAUGGGGGUUCGAUUCCCUCCGGGGCCAC